GGGAGAUGUCAAUCAAAGAGCCCACUCUGCCAUUCUCCUCUUCCACAGGUGGUUCAUUUCCUGCAGGGUCCGGAAACCAGGUGAGGAGACGAUUUCCAGCAUCCGCAGUAUUUUUCCCUGAUCUCAGUCUGUGCUACCUGCCUCAGAAUUUAACCUUUUAAGCCCCAGGAACAUUCUGGUGAAUCUACGCUGCACUCCCUGCAAGGCCAACAUAUCCUUCCUGAGGUGCAGUGCCCAGAACUGAACACAGUUCUCCAGAUAAGGUCUAAAGAGAGCUCUGUACAACUGGAACAUAACUUCCACAAGGAUACAGUUGGUUCUGGGGAGGAGAAGUUGUGGGUUAUCUGUUCUCUUCAGGAUGCUCCUGGAGUAAUGUGCAGUUUUGACAGAGGAAAGCAGGACCACUAGUGCUUGAUGUGGUCCAGUCAGAUCUGGCGAUGGAUGUUUAAACCGGUUGUGUACCAGAUAUGCUCAAAUCUUCACCCCUUGGAGUUGAGAAGCAGGGAGAUCGCCCAGGAAAGAAGAGAGUAAAGCUGAACUCAAUCUGCCUGAUUUGUCAGCAUGGUGUUUUCCUAUUUACUGAAACACUCUGGAGCCUACAGUAA